rnacentral:lncRNA from 1 species
GGUGGAGUAACAUAGAAAGACUUGAGACAAAAUAUAGAGCAGGGAGAAAAUUCUAUAGCCUUAAGAAAGACUUCAGUUCGAAAAUAAUCUUAAUCUCUAUUGUGACCUUGUAAAGAUGCCGAAAUCAAGAAAGUUUCAAUUCAUCCCUGAUCCAAUUUGACUCACGACUUGAUCAUAUAGUUCAAUGAUUCCCAGAUGAAUCUAACAAAACAAAAUCGAAUUCCACACUGGAUAUGAUGAGUUAAACAAGCCAUGCACUUCCCUUUCUUCCCCAACCUAUACAUGUCACAUCCACUCAAACUUCCAAAAACAUAGUAGUUACUUGCUAGCGUUUUCUAUUCUUUUCGGCACUGUUUUUUUGGGUCGCAAACUCUUUAACAGGUUGGAAUAGACCACUAUUUCUGUUCUGUCACUCCCUCUGAAGGAUCUGUUCUGCCAUGUUUCUGUUCAGAAACUCGAAGAGAAACAUAUUGUUGGCCAUCUCAUUAAUAUUGACCCCAAAUACUGCUUUCCAUGUGACCACUUCUCAAUCUCCUGAUAUCUGACAGAGAGGGGAUCUC